CGAUGCUUGUCACUGUUAGUACAAUCCAAGGAAGAAGCGAAGUGAUCACCUCCCCAUUCACAUUGAGAAAAGCUGAAUACAUGCUAGUGACGCCAGGGACUAUAACGGCAUGUAUGAUCAAAUCUUACAGAAACUUUAAAAUGCCUUUCAUGGUGAUGAAACAGAUGAAUCCAGUUUAACAGAUAGCUGGGACCAAUACAAUGUGGCCAGGUCACAUCUCAGAAGCCACAGGGUAUCUUGUAAAUAAUACAGUGUUGCCGUUUGGGUUGACACUUAACAGGAGAGUAAUAGAACUGAUCUCCUCUGGAAUGUCUCCAGCUCUGAAGGGGGAUGACCAGCAAUGUGACCUGCUCCUAAAAGGACCAGACGGCUUUCUCUACAGAGGUCAGAGGAUCACUGACGAAAAAGACAAUUGCAGUAAAAUGAUGACUGUUGUAUGAUGUAUGAUACUCACGAAA